rnacentral:rRNA from 1 species
GACGAACGCUGGCGGCGUGCCUAAUACAUGCAAGUAGAACGCAGUUGCGAACGGGUGAGUAACGCGUAGGUAACUGCCUCAUAGCGGGGGAUAACUAUUGGAAACGAUAGCUAAUACCGCAUACUGUGAGAUGGAACUGCGUUGUAUUAGGUAGUUGGUGAGGUAAAGGCUCACCAAGGCGACGAUACAUAGCCUACCUGAGAGGGUGGUCGAGCACACGGGGACGGAGGACAGGCCCAGGCCCCCUACGGUGGCAGGAGUAGGGAAACUUUGGAAAUGGACGGAAGGCCGAACGAGCCACGCCGGGGGAGUUGAGAAGGUUUUCGGGUCGUAAAGCUCUGUUGUUAGAGAAGCGGUAACUAACCAGAAAGGGACGGCUAACUACGUGCCAGCCGCCGCGGUAAUUC